rnacentral:rRNA from 1 species
AGGGUUCGAUUCUGGCUCAGGAUGAACGCUAGCGACAGGCUUAACACAUGCAAGUCGAGGGGCAGCAUAAAAGUAGCAAUACUUUGGUGGCGACCGGCGCACGGGUGAGUAACGCGUAUGCAACCUACCUAUCAGAGGGGAAUAACCCGGCGAAAGUCGGACUAAUACCGCAUAAAACAGGGGCACCGCAUGGUGAUAUUUGUUAAAGAAAUUCGCUGAUAGAUGGGCAUGCGUUCCAUUAGGUAGUUGGUGAGGUAACGGCUCACCAAGCCGACGAUGGAUAGGGGAACUGAGAGGUUGGUCCCCCACACUGGUACUGAGACACGGACCAGACUCCCACGGGAGGCAGCAGUGAGGAAUAUUGGUCAAUGGGCGGGAGCCUGAACCAGCCAAGUCGCGUGAAGGAAAAGAAGGAUCUAUGGUUCGUAAACUUCUUUUGCAGGGGAAUAAAGUGCAGGACGUGUCCUGUUUUGUAUGUACCCUGAGAAUAAGGAUCGGCUAACUCCGUGCCAGCAGCAGC